AUACGUAGGUGGCGAGCGUUAUCCGGAAUUACUGGGCGUAAAGCGCACGCAGGCGGCCGGUCAAGUCUGACGUGAAAGCUCCUGGCUUAACUGGGAGAGGUCGUUGGAAACUGGCGGGCUUGAGGCAAUGAGAGGGGUGUAGAAUUCCCGGUGUAGUGGUGGAAUGCGUAGAUAUCGGGAGGAAUACCAGUGGCGAAGGCGGCACCCUGGCAUUGACCUGACGCUGAGGUGCGAAAGCGUGGGGAGCGAACGGGAUUAGAUACCCCGGUAGUCCACGCCGUAAACGAUGAGCACUAGGUGUAGGUGGUGUGAAAACUAUCUGUGCCGUAGUCAACGCGCUAAGUGCUCCGCCUGGGGAGUACGGCCGCAAGGCUAAA
rnacentral:rRNA from 1 species